AAAUGAAUUGACGGGGGCCCGCACAAGCGGUGGAGCAUGUGGUUUAAUUCGAUGCAACGCGAAGAACCUUACCAUCCCUUGACAUCCAGAGAAUCUUUCAGAGAUGAGAGAGUGCCUUCGGGAACUCUGAGACAGGUGCUGCAUGGCUGUCGUCAGCUCGUGUUGUGAGAUGUUGGGUUAAGUCCCGCAACGAGCGCAACCCUUAUCCUUAGUUGCCAGCACAUAAUGGUGGGAACUCUAGGGAGACUGCCGGUGAUAAACCGGAGGAAGGUGGGGACGACGUCAAGUCAUCAUGGCCCUUACGGGAUGGGCUACACACGUGCUACAAUGGCGCACACAAAGGGCAGCUAACUAGCGAUAGUAUGCGAAUCUCAAAAAGUGCGUCGUAGUCCGGAUCGGAGUCUGCAACUCGACUCCGUGAAGUAGGAAUCGCUAGUAAUCGUGGAUCAGAAUGCCACGGUGAAUACGUUCCCGGGCCUUGUACACACCGCCCGU
rnacentral:rRNA from 1 species